AAACGAUACGGAAUGACGUUAUGGUAAGACUACGCUGAAUGGAAAGGAGCACUGAGGAGUCGGGACAGCUCUCAACUUAGUCCUUUUCGAACUCAAGGAGCAGGUAAAGCAGGCUUUAAGCAGCAAGCGCCUUCUAUAACAGGCCUCGGCACCGCUGUUUAGCAUAUCGUCAAGGAUUUUUUGUCGGGGUAGAGAGCUCGAUAGGAUUUAUGAAUCCAUGAAUGUUCUCAGUUCCGGUAUUGCCGUUAAGCAUUGCCUUAGACAGCCGGCGCCCUACUUAAAGCGUAUAUACUUUCACGGGCAAACACGCCAUCAUAAGACAAUACCUCUAGAUAUUUCUUUGCGAUUGCUUUUUUAGGAGCGCCAACAUUGCCUCACGUAUUGAUUACAUUUACAGGCAGGGCAGGCUAUUUACUUAGCGUCGUUGCAGAAUAACUUAAUCCCGUUAGUGGAAAACGAGCAAACGUAGAAGAGAGCUAAUGGUUGGUCGUUGCGACUGCCACACGUCACAAUUACAAUGGAUGCAAAAUUAGAAAGCACUCUUUAAGAAAAUAUCUGUUAGCCUAUCGCUAAGAGCCAACGAUGAGGAUCUGAAUUUGACAAGUAACGUUGACUGGAGUUCCAGUGAAACGCCUAACGUAGACGGAAAAAGAUAGUUACAAGAAGAAAAUUGGCUCAACGAAGCGCAAUAGAGAACAGCCAGCUACUUCCAUCUCCGACCAUCUUAGCAAGGCUGUCGAGGCUACGAGUAAAUAUAAGCAAACGUUGGCCCUUAAUUGGGCACCGAAGAAAACGAAGCCAAAGAAAACAGAAACAGAGUUAAGAAGAUACCAUAAUCGGAUAGUAAUGUAUUUUCUCACUGAACUGUUUCAAAUGAGUAUCAAAAAUAAAAAUAUCAGCUAAUGAAUGAAUGAAAUCUCGAAAUGGAACUUCAAUGCACAUAUUAGCAAAAAUUAUCCGUACAAAAGUAUAUGCUGUCGACUGUUCGACCGAACGACGUUGCCGGUAUGACACAUCUUCGAGCAAUAUCAGAAAAUGCGUUGCUCAAAGCAACUAAAAAGACGAAAAUAUGUCUUCCGACAGAAAUGUGUCCAUGGCGCCAUCUAUCUCCAGGAUCACAACCGACUUCGACAAAAGCAACCCACAAAUCACUACAUAGUAGUCCUAUAGUAUACAAGAUGUAGGAACGCGAUAGGUUCGUAAUGAGCUGCUCUAGCUUAAAAGUAAAACGAUGUAACUUUUAAGCCAUAUCAUACAUGUAAGUUAAGCUGACAUAUAUAUAUAUAUAUAUAUAUAGCUCGAGUUAAAACCAGUUAUAAGAAUUAACAAACCCGACAGAAUGACACUUUUAAGAUGUAAGCAAACAGCAUCAAUGUAUUAUCACUUUGACCAAGACCAAAGUCGUGUACGCUCCAUAGCAGACACAUAGUCAAGACGAAGCUUCGGCUUAUAAUCAGAGAAAUUCGUACAAACAAAAAAAAAACUCAAACAACUUUUACAUAAUAUAGAAUUACCACUAGAAAACUU